rnacentral:rRNA from 1 species
GAUUGAACGCUGGCGGCAGGCCUAACACAUGCAAGUCGAGCGGAUGAAGAGAGCUUGCUCUMUGAUUCAGCGGCGGACGGGUGAGUAAUGCCUAGGAAUCUGCCUAUUAGUGGGGGACAACGUUUCGAAAGGAACGCUAAUACCGCAUACGUCCUACGGGAGAAAGCAGGGGACCUUCGGGCCUUGCGCUAAUAGAUGAGCCUAGGUCGGAUUAGCUAGUUGGUGAGGUAAUGGCUCACCAAGGCGACGAUCCGUAACUGGUCUGAGAGGAUGAUCAGUCACACUGGAACUGAGACACGGUCCAGACUCCUACGGGAGGCAGCAGUGGGGAAUAUUGGACAAUGGGCGAAAGCCUGAUCCAGCCAUGCCGCGUGUGUGAAGAAGGUCUUCGGAUUGUAAAGCACUUUAAGUUGGGAGGAAGGGCAUUAACCUAAUACGUUAGUGUUUUGACGUUACCGACAGAAUAAGCACCGGCUAACUCU